AGUGUGAUAACUGGGUCAAAUGGUUCCAUUCCAAGUUUUCUGAGGAACCUCCAUACUAUUUUCCAUAGUGGUUACACCAAUUUGCAGUCCCACCAGCAAU
rnacentral:pre_miRNA from 1 species